CGUAUCCAUCCAGCAGCACGCUGGCAUCCCAAUCAUCACCUUCCGCGGCGUCAUCGCCCAGGCUCAGUCUGGGGCCGGCAAGACGUCCAUGAUCUCCCUCUUCGUUUGCCAGGUUAUCGAGACCAACAUCCACAAGCAUUAGCGACGACAUGGACAUGGGCUUCACUGACAGGAAGAACUUGCUCAUGGACCGCAGGACCAUGGCUCCCAAGAUCGACGACCUCAGGUCUCAGCCGUGCCUUUAGGGUUCCUCUCAAGAAUUACACACAAGUUUCUUACUCGAGGUACCGACCCUGAGGUCCUUCUUGGUGCCGCAUGUGAUUGGUGGGCUGCAUUUUUUAAGUUGGUAUGAUGAACUGGACUUUGUAAAUGAGCACAUAUAUACACUGAAUCCUGGUAAAUGGCAGCUGAAU